GGUUAACAGAGACAAACGGGGCAUUUGUAUGGUCCCGUGAGAGGUGAAAUUCUUGGACCGUGGCCAGACAAACUACAAGCGAAAGCAUUUGCCAAGAAUGUUUUUAUUAAUCAAGAACGAAAGUCAGAGGUUCGAAGGCGAUCAGAUACCGCCCUAGUUCUGACCGUAAACGAUGCCAACUAGCGAUCCGCCGAUGGAAAUUAUAUUGCCUUGGUGGGGAGCUUCCCGGAAACGAAAGUCUUCCGGUUCCGGGGGAAGUAUGGUUGCAAAGCUGAAACUUAAAGGAAUUGACGGAAGGGCACCACCAGGAGUGGAGCCUGCGGCUUAAUUUGACUCAACACGGGGAAACUCACCCGGCCCGGACACUGUGAGGAUUGACAGAUUGAUAGCUUUUUCAUGAUUCAGUGGAUGGUGGUGCAUGGCCGUUCUUAGUUCGUGGAGUGAUUUGUCUGGUUUAUUCCGAUAACGAGCGAGACUCUAACCUACUAAAUAGUUGGUACAUACUCUUAGUGUAUACAGCUUCUUAGAGGGAUUUGCGGCGUUCAGCCGAAAGAAAUUGAGCAAUAACAGGUCUGUGAUGCCCUUAGAUGUCCGGGGCUGCACGCGCGCUACACUGGCAAAAUCAACGUGCUUGUCCUACCUGAAAGGGGCGGGUAAACCAUUGAAAAUUUGCCGUGAUUGGGAUCGGAAAUUGCAAUUAUUUUCCGUGAACGAGGAAUUCCAAGUAAGUGCGAGUCAUCAGCUCGCGUUGAUUACGUCCCUGCCCUUUGUACACACCGCCCGUCGCUGCCCGGGACUGAGCCAUUUCGAGAAAUUUGGGGACCGUUGAUUUAAUUUUUCUAAAUUACUUUGAUGGAAACCAAUUUAAUCGCAGUGGCUUGAACCGGGCAAAAGUCGUAACAAGGUAGCUGUAGGUGAACCUGCUGCUG
rnacentral:rRNA from 1 species